GCAGCCGUGGCCUACUGGUUAGGUAUUCGGGCUUGUAACCGAAGGGUUGCCGGUUUGAUCCCUGACCAGUUGGA
rnacentral:tRNA from 1 species